CUGUGGGACAGCAGGCGGAUGCCUACCCCCGCUCAGCAAGCAGGCAGCCCAGCUUCCGUACCCAGGGUGGAGAGGAGGGUGGCAGGGGCCUCCCUCGGGCGUUUGCUGGCUUGUGCAAACUCCAGGAGAGAUGCGCCUACCGUCAGCUCAUCCUGGGCACCAGACCCAGCCGCCAGCCAGGCAGCAGGAGCCCUGCCCACACCCAGCUCCUCGUCCCCAGCCGGGGCCCUGGGCGGCACGAGCCCUGGGGACCGCUGGCUGGUCUUCCUCUGCCCCGUGGGUUUCCAUGAGACGUGUUUGCUUCUGUUUCAGCCUUUGGUUUCACUUGCAGUCAGCUGCCCCAGGCCCCCCUCGGGCGCCCCCUCAAGUGUGCCGAGUGCGGAGUCCCCCGUGCUGCCGAUGCCUCCCGCGACGUCUCCAGCAGUGCCGUGUUAGUGCCUUGCUGCCCGCCACGGGGCGCCCGCCGCCCUGCCCCCGCUCACGUCUGUGUUCUGUGUUCUUGCUCUCUCCAGGCCGCUGACCCCAGGUUUCCUCGGGGGCCUCUGCCCUGCCUCACCCCCACCCCAGGCUCUCUCUUCCAUGUUCCAGGCACUGGGCUCUGUGCCGUGAGCAAGGCGGGCGGGAGGCAGAGUGACCCAGGCCAGUGGUGGUGGGGAUGGGAGCACGGCCACCCCCCCCCCCGAGGGCCAGGGCCAGGUGUGGGGCUGGCUGCUACUGCUUCCUGGUCACACCCCAAAAAUGCUGCUGGCCAGAGCCUGGGCACAGGAGGGCAGGGAGCCUGGGCUGUGUGGGGGUGCAUGAGUGUGAAACUGUGAUAUGAGUGUGAGCAAGAACAUGUCUAAGGGUGAUGGCAUGUACACGGUGUGUGCUAGUGUGCACAUGUGUAAGAGUGGGUGCAUGUGUGCUGUGUGCUAGUGUCACAUGAGGUGAGAGUGGGUGGAUGUGAACGUGCAUGUGUGCGGUGUGUGUAGUUGUAUAAGCAUCUAAGUGUAUGGGUGUGUGUGAUUGAACGUGUGAAGAUGUGUUAGAGGUGUGCACGUGUGUGUGAGUGUGUGCAUAUGUGUGUAAUGUAGCCACAGCCAAGGGAACUGGUGGCCGGGCUUGGAGUCAGCGGCCGAUGGCAGACUGGCUUUCAGAGAGGCUCUGAGCUGUGCUGGGCAGUGUGGGUUCAGGUGGGCAGGCUUGAGGGUUGAGCGUCCAGGCCUCCGGCUUCCGCAAGUCACAGUGAUGGCCAAGCCCCUAGACCCUUACCCACCAGGCCCCUCUGUUUCCUGAGCUGGGCCCUGGAUCCCAGGAUUUUAGGAGCCUUAAGAGAGAGGGCCGGGGCCGUGGGCCCGCAGGAGGCGAGCUGGAUGCAGAGAUGUGGCAGGAUUACCCUACACUGACAGGCGGGUGAGGCACAAGGCCAGCCAAGCUGUGUGACCUGCCGUCACGCCUGGGUCCCACGCUGGCUGAGAGACAGGGCAGCCUGCUCAGGGAGGGCCAGGUAUUUGGGGUUAGCAGCCUUGCUGGGUGAAGGACCCACCCCAGGUGGGAGGCCGUGGGAAACUCUGCUGCAGCCUGAGGAAGCCUUAGAGAACCUCGGUGGGGCAGGAGAUGGGGUGGCACCCCCAGGCUCUGCCCAGAUCGCCCCACACCUCAAGGCCUCUGACUCCCAGCCUAUGGGUAGAGGUGUUUGUGAAGCUGCAGAGGCUGGGGGUAACAUGUGGUCCCCAAGCCCAAGCCAUCUGCCAGCCUGGGGAAGAUGGGCUGUAAGUGUCAGGCCUGGAGGCUGCUCCCUGUGGACAGUCAGGGAAGGUGACGUGGGGGGCUGAGAGAGGCUCCCCUGACUCAAGAACAUCUGCUUUGGAAGGGAGAAGACAGGUUGCCAGACACUCCACCUUAGUAGGAAACCAAGGCCCAGAGCCGUUGGGGAUGCGUGGGCACUUGUGCAGGCCAGUGGGUGCCGUGCUGUGCCCGCCUCGGGAUGUGGAAUGAGCAGGCAGUGCAGCCUGGAGGGGAGGGGCAGGGGCUGCCUGCCCACCCAGCAGGGCAGGCUCCAGGCCUAGGGCCCUGGCGUUGGGGGUUUGUGCCUGGCACAGAAGGCCCAGUGAAUAG
rnacentral:lncRNA from 1 species